AUUGAACGCUGUCGGCAGGCCUAACACAUGCAAGUCGAACGGAAACAGGAAGCAGCUUGCUGCUUUGCUGUCGCGUGGCGGGGGUGUGAAUCAUGUCUGGGACCCUGCUCGAAGGCGGGGGUAACCUCCUGGAACCGGUGGCUAAUACGGCUUAUCGUCGCAAGACCAAGGAGGGGGACUUUAGGGCCUCUUGCCUUCCGCUGAGCCCAGAUGGGAUUAGCUAGUAGGUGGGGUAACGGCUAACCAAGGCGACGAUCCGUAGCUGGUCUGAGAGGAUGAUCGGCCACACUGGAACUGAGACACGGUCCAGACUCCUACGGGAGGCAGCAGUGGGGAAUAUUGCGCAAUGGGCGAAAGCCUGAUGCAGCCAUGCCGCGUGUAUGAAGAAGGCCUUCGGGUUGUAAAGUACUUUUAGUGGGGAGGAAGGGAGGAAAGAUAAUACCUGCGCGUAUUGACGGUACCCGCAGAGGAAGCACCGGCUAACUCCGUG
rnacentral:rRNA from 1 species